rnacentral:rRNA from 1 species
UACGUAGGGUCCGAGCGUUGUCCGGAAUUACUGGGCGUAAAGCGCGCGCAGGCGGCCCGCGAGGUGUCACGUGAAAGCCCCGGGCCUCAACCCGGGAGGGUCGUGGCAAACCGGCGGCUUGAGGCCGGUAGAGGUGGGUGGAACUCCUGGUGGAGUGGUGAAAUGCGUAGAGAUCAGGAAGAACACCCGUGGCGAAGGCGGCCCACCUGGGCCCGGUACUGGACGGC